AUUGAACGCUGGCGGCAUGCUUUACACAUGCAAGUCGAACGGCAGCGCGGGCUUCGGCCUGGCGGCGAGUGGCGAACGGGUGAGUAAUACAUCGGAACGUGCCCAGUAGUGGGGGAUGGCUCGGCGAAAGCCGGAUUAAUACCGCAUACGACCUGAGGGUGAAGGCGGGGGGUCUUCGGACCUCGCGCUAUUGGAGGGGCCGAUGGCAGAGUAGCUAGUUGGUGGGGUAAAGGCCUACCAAGGCGACGAUCUGUAGCUGGUCUGAGAGGACGACCAGCCACACUGGGACUGAGACACGGCCCAGACUCCUACGGGAGGCAGCAGUGGGGAAUUUUGGACAAUGGGCGAAAGCCUGAUCCAGCAAUGCCGCGUGUGUGAUGAAGGCCUUCGGGUUGUAAAGCACUUUUGGCGGGAACGAAAAGGACUGUGCCAAUACCACGGUUCGAUGACGGUACCCGCAGAAUAAGCACCGGCUAACUACGUG
rnacentral:rRNA from 1 species